GGUUAAGCGACUAAGCGUACACGGUGGAUGCCCUGGCAGUCAGAGGCGAUGAAGGACGUGCUAAUCUGCGAAAAGCGUCGGUAAGGUGAUAUGAACCGUUAUAACCGGCGAUGUCCGAAUGGGGAAACCCAGUGCAAUUCGUUGCACUAUCGUUAACUGAAUACAUAGGUUAACGAGGCGAACCGGGGGAACUGAAACAUCUAAGUACCCCGAGGAAAAGAAAUCAACCGAGAUUCCCCCAGUAGCGGCGAGCGAACGGGGAGCAGCCCAGAGUCUGAAUCAGCUUGUGUGUUAGUGGAACGGUCUGGAAAGUCCGACGGUACAGGGUGAUAGUCCCGUACACCAAAAUGCACAGGCUGUGAACUCGAAGAGUAGGGCGGGACACGUGGUAUCCUGUCUGAAUAUGGGGGGACCAUCCUCCAAGGCUAAAUACUCCUGACUGACCGAUAGUGAACCAGUACCGUGAGGGAAAGGCGAAAAGAACCCCGGCGAGGGGAGUGAAAAAGAACCUGAAACCGUGUACGUACAAGCAGUGGGAGCACCUUCGGGUGUGACUGCGUACCUUUUGUAUAAUGGGUCAGCGACUUAUAUUCUGUAGCAAGGUUAACCGUAUAGGGGAGCCGCAGGGAAACCGAGUCUUAACUGGGCGUUAAGUUGCAGGGUAUAGACCCGAAACCCGGUGAUCUAGCCAUGGGCAGGUUGAAGGUUGGGUAACACUAACUGGAGGACCGAACCGACUAAUGUUGAAAAAUUAGCGGAUGACUUGUGGCUGGGGGUGAAAGGCCAAUCAAACCGGGAGAUAGCUGGUUCUCCCCGAAAGCUAUUUAGGUAGCGCCUCGUGAACUCAUCUUCGGGGGUAGAGCACUGUUUCGGCUAGGGGGUCAUCCCGACUUACCAACCCGAUGCAAACUACGAAUACCGAAGAAUGUUAUCACGGGAGACACACGGCGGGUGCUAACGUCCGUCGUGAAGAGGGAAACAACCCAGACCGCCAGCUAAGGUCCCAAAGUCAUGGUUAAGUGGGAAACGAUGUGGGAAGGCACAGACAGCCAGGAUGUUGGCUUAGAAGCAGCCAUCAUUUAAAGAAAGCGUAAUAGCUCACUGGUCGAGUCGGCCUGCGCGGAAGAUGUAACGGGGCUAAACCAUGCACCGAAGCUGCGGCAGCGACACUAUGUGUUGUUGGGUAGGGGAGCGUUCUGUAAGCCUGCGAAGGUGUGCUGUGAGGCAUGCUGGAGGUAUCAGAAGUGCGAAUGCUGACAUAAGUAACGAUAAAGCGGGUGAAAAGCCCGCUCGCCGGAAGACCAAGGGUUCCUGUCCAACGUUAAUCGGGGCAGGGUGAGUCGACCCCUAAGGCGAGGCCGAAAGGCGUAGUCGAUGGGAAACAGGUUAAUAUUCCUGUACUUGGUGUUACUGCGAAGGGGGGACGGAGAAGGCUAUGUUAGCCGGGCGACGGUUGUCCCGGUUUAAGCAUGUAGGCUGAUUGUCCAGGCAAAUCCGGAUAAUCAAGGCUGAGGUGUGAUGACGAGGCACUACGGUGCUGAAGUAACAAAUGCCCUGCUUCCAGGAAAAGCCUCUAAGCAUCAGGUAACAUUAAAUCGUACCCCAAACCGACACAGGUGGUCAGGUAGAGAAUACCAAGGCGCUUGAGAGAACUCGGGUGAAGGAACUAGGCAAAAUGGUGCCGUAACUUCGGGAGAAGGCACGCUGGUGUGUAGGUGAAGCCCCUGCGGGUGGAGCUGAGACCAGUCGAAGAUACCAGCUGGCUGCAACUGUUUAUUAAAAACACAGCACUGUGCAAACACGAAAGUGGACGUAUACGGUGUGACGCCUGCCCGGUGCCGGAAGGUUAAUUGAUGGGGUUAUCCGUAAGGAGAAGCUCUUGAUCGAAGCCCCGGUAAACGGCGGCCGUAACUAUAACGGUCCUAAGGUAGCGAAAUUCCUUGUCGGGUAAGUUCCGACCUGCACGAAUGGCGUAAUGAUGGCCAGGCUGUCUCCACCCGAGACUCAGUGAAAUUGAACUCGCUGUGAAGAUGCAGUGUACCCGCGGCAAGACGGAAAGACCCCGUGAACCUUUACUAUAGCUUGACACUGAACAUUGAGCCUUGAUGUGUAGGAUAGGUGGGAGGCUUUGAAGCGUGGACGCCAGUCUGCGUGGAGCCAACCUUGAAAUACCACCCUUUAAUGUUUGAUGUUCUAACGUUGGCCCCUUAUCGGGGUUGCGGACAGUGUCUGGUGGGUAGUUUGACUGGGGCGGUCUCCUCCCAAAGCGUAACGGAGGAGCACGAAGGUUAGCUAAUCCUGGUCGGACAUCAGGAGGUUAGUGCAAUGGCAUAAGCUAGCUUGACUGCGAGCGUGACGGCGCGAGCAGGUGCGAAAGCAGGUCAUAGUGAUCCGGUGGUUCUGAAUGGAAGGGCCAUCGCUCAACGGAUAAAAGGUACUCCGGGGAUAACAGGCUGAUACCGCCCAAGAGUUCAUAUCGACGGCGGUGUUUGGCACCUCGAUGUCGGCUCAUCACAUCCUGGGGCUGAAGUAGGUCCCAAGGGUAUGGCUGUUCGCCAUUUAAAGUGGUACGCGAGCUGGGUUUAGAACGUCGUGAGACAGUUCGGUCCCUAUCUGCCGUGGGCGCUGGAGAAUUGAGGGGGGCUGCUCCUAGUACGAGAGGACCGGAGUGGACGCAUCACUGGUGUUCGGGUUGUCAUGCCAAUGGCACUGCCCGGUAGCUAAAUGCGGAAGAGAUAAGUGCUGAAAGCAUCUAAGCACGAAACUUGCCCCGAGAUGAGUUCUCCCUGAGACUUUAAGUCUCCUGAAGGAACGUUAAAGACGAUGACGUUGAUAGGCCGGGUGUGUAAGCGCAGCGAUGCGUUGAGCUAACCGGUACUAAUGAACCGUGAGGCUUAACCUU
rnacentral:rRNA from 1 species